rnacentral:rRNA from 1 species
UCCAGACUCCUACGGGAGGCAGCAGUGGGGAAUAUUGGGCAAUGGGCGCAAGCCUGACCCAGCAACGCCGCGUGAAGGAAGAAGGCUUUCGGGUUGUAAACUUCUUUUAAGAGGGAAGAGUAGAAGACGGUACCUCUUGAAUAAGCCACGGCUAACUACGUGCCAGCAGCCGCGGUAAUACGUAGGGGGCAAGCGUUAUCCGGAUUUACUGGGUGUAAAGGGGGCGCAGACGGCGAUGCAAGCCAGGAGUGAAAGCCCGGGGCCCAACCCCGGGACUGCUCUUGGAACUGCGUGGCUAGAGUGCAGGAGGGGCAGGCGGAAUUCCUGGUGUAGCGGUGAAAUGCGUAGAUAUUAGGAGGAACACCAGUGGCGAAGGCGGCUUACUGGACUGUAACUGACGUUGAGGCUCGAAAGCGUGGGGAGCAAACAGGAUUAGAUACCCCGGUACUG